UACGUAGGGUGCAAGCGUUAAUCGGAAUUACUGGGCGUAAAGGGUGCGUAGGCGGUUUGAUAAGUCUGAUGUGAAAUCUAUGGGCUCAACCCAUAGCCUGCAUUAGAAACUGUCGGGCUUGAGUAUGGGAGAGGUGAGUGGAAUUUCCGGUGUAGCGGUGAAAUGCGUAGAUAUCGGAAGGAACACCUGUGGCGAAAGCGGCUCACUGGACCAUUACUGACGCUGAUGCACGAAAGCUAGGGGAGCAAACAGG
rnacentral:rRNA from 1 species